CCAACCGGUCGGAUUGGAUAAUUUCAUAUAUAAUUAAUAAUUUUACCAGGGCUUGACAUGCCGCAAAUCCUCUUGAAAGAGAGGGGUGCCUUCGGGAACGCGGACACAUGUGGUGCAUGGCUGCCGUCAGCUCGUGCCGUAAGGUGUUGGGUUAAGUACCGCAACGAGCACAACCCUCGUGUUUAGUUGCCAACGUUGAGUUUGGAACCCUGAGCAGACUGUCGGUGAUAAGCCGGAGGAAGGUGAGGAUGACGACAAGUCAUCAUGCCCUGGGCGACACACGUGCUACAAUGGCUGGGACAAAGGAUCGCGAUCCCGCGAGGGUGAGCUAACUCCAAAAACCCGUCCUCAGUUCGGAUUGUAGGUUGCAACUCGCCUGCAUGAAGCCGGAAUCGCUAGUAACCGCUGGUCAGCCAUACGGCAUUCGGUCU
rfam:Lupinus angustifolius cultivar Tanjil chromosome LG04, whole genome shotgun sequence.